UGCCAGCCGCCGCGGUAAUACGUAGGGGGCGAGCGUUGUCCGGAAUCACUGGGCGUAAAGGGCGCGUAGGCGGCCAAAUAAGUUGAAUGUGAAAUCCCCGAGCUCAACUCGGGACGUGCAUUCAAAACUGUUUGGCUUGAGUAUGGUAGAGGUAAGUGGAAUUCCUAGUGUAGCGGUGGAAUGCGUAGAUAUUAGGAGGAACACCAGUGGCGAAGGCGACUUACUGGGCCAUUACUGACGCUGAGGCGCGAAAGCGUGGGGAGCAAACAGGAUUAGAUA
rnacentral:rRNA from 1 species